rnacentral:tRNA from 1 species
UAGGAAGUGGUGUAGUUGGAAGCACUAAGAGUUUUGAUCUCUUUAGUAUAGGUUCAAAUCCUGUUUUUCUAG